GAGGCUCACCUGAAGGAGGAGGCCUGGAAGGUGGUACAUGAGGUGAAGGCCAUGGGCAGGAGAAGUUUUGGCUCGGCCAUGUCCAUGGGGGAAAUAGCCACCAGCUCUCUGGGAAGCCUGAGCUCAGUGGAUAUGAACACCCCUGCGGAGCUCCGUGACUACUUGGAUGUUGGGACCCCGGUAAAGUCGCGUGACAGCCCACCCAGGCCUGCUCCCCCCCCUACCAAGCCCAGGAGCAAACUGCCUCGGCCUACAAGGUUCCUUAGCCUGCAAAAGGCUGACACCGGCUCAGUUCACAGAGAGAUAGAUGUCUGCUGUCAACCCAUAGACAAGAAGGCAGCCGUGAGCCAAAGGGCCAAAUAAAGAAAAGUCAGGACCAGGCCAGAUUGCAGCCCCUGUCCAACCCAGAGCAGGCCCUGACUAAGACCUUCAAGCUGCUCCACUCUGCCUCUGAUGACUGGGAGAAGAAGAUCGAGGGCUUGACCUCUCUCCGUGUGAUGGCUCAGAACCACAUGGACAUACUGAUGCCUAAACUCCAUGAUAUCUGCCUUGCCAUUAUAAAUGAGGUGAAGAACCUGCGCUCUGCAGUGUCCUGUGCUGCCAUGGCCACACUGGGUGACAUGUACGUUCACCUCCAGAGGGCCAUGGACAGUGA